GACGAACGUUGGCGGCGUGCUUAAUACAUGCAAGUCAACUGAAGCAGUGGUAGCAAUAUCGCUGUGGAGGUGGCGCACGGGUGAGUAACACGUAGGUAAUCUGCCUUCAGGUCUGGCAUAACUCCGGGAAACCGGGGCUAAUAGCAGAUGAUGCAGCGGCUCGACAUCGAGACAGUUGUUAAAGCUAUGGCGCCUGAAGAUGAGCCUGCGUCUGAUUAGCUAGUUGGCGGGGUAACGGCCCACCAAGGCAACGAUCAGUAGCUGGUCUGAGAGGAAGAUCAGCCACACUGGGACUGAGACACGGUCCAGACUCCUACGGGAGGCAGCAGUAAGGAAUAUUGCUCAAUGGGAGAAAUCCUGAAGCAGCAACGCCGCGUGAGGGACGAAGGGCUUUUGCUUGUAAACCUCUGUAGUGAGAGAAAAAAAUCCCAAUCUUUGGGACAUGAUGGUAUCUCAAAAGUAAGCCCCGGCUAACUACGUG
rnacentral:rRNA from 1 species